ensembl:lncRNA
CCUCCGUCCCGGGCGCCGGGAGGCGGCUGCAGGGACACAGGGGGACAGCCGCUCGGCCUCGCUCCCCGCCUGGGAGACACGUUGGCGGGUGUGCUGGGAGAAGCUUCAUAACCCUCUUCCGGAGAACUCCAUCGGGUCUCCAGGAAAAGGGGGGCGCUCGGAAAGGUUACGGGAGGCCGCUAGGAGCAGAAUCCUAAAUGGCUGUUGUGGGUCCUUCUAGUUGUGGCGUGUGGGAUGCCGCCUCAGCGUGGCCUGAUGAGUGGUGCCGUGUCCUCGCCCAGGAUCCGAACCGGCGAAAUCCUGGGCCGCCGCAGCGGAGCGCGAACUUAGCCACUCGGCCGCGGGGCCCGCCGCUAUGAUGCAACUUUCGGACCCUCCGAUUCUAGAAGGAGCGAACCCACAGGCUCCUGUUGAUACUUAUGGCUGCGAGCUCUCCUCACUCUUUUGUUGUGUCACCUUUCUUGUGAAUUGAGAUACAAUUGACAUACAAUGUAUUAGUUUCAGGCAGACAAGGUGAGGAUUCCCACGAUCGUCACCCUAAGUCUGGCGAACAUCCAUCACGACACAUAGUUGCAAAUUUUUUUUCUUGAGAUAAGGACUUUCAAGGUCUUAGCGGCUUUCACAUACACGACACAGUGUUAUUAACUCUAGCCGCCACACUGUGUGUCACAUCCCCAGCACUUCGUUAUUUUACAGCUGGAAGUUUGUACCUUUUGAGCCCGUCACCCAUUUCGCCCACCUCUGGCCACCGCCAAUCUGUUCUCUGCAUCUAUGAGCUCGAUAUUUUUUUUUUUUUUCCAGAUUCUGUGUGGAAGGGAGAUCAUACGAAGAGAUGCGACCUGAUUUGGAAAUGGAGUCUUUGCAGAUCUGAUGGAGGGAAGAUGAAAUCGUCCUGGAGCGGGGUGGCCCUAAUCCACAACUGUGUCCCUUCUAAGAAGAGGGGAAUUUGGACGCAGACACACAGGGACACGGCCGCGUGACGACGGAGGCAGAGUUUGGAGGGACGUGUCCCCGAGCCGGGGGACGCCAACGAUUGCCAGCGACCACCAGAAGCUGGAAGAGGCAGGAAGGACCCUCCCCUGGAGCCUCCUGAGAGAGUGUGUCCCUGUGACACCUUGAUUUGGGACUUCUGGCCUCUGGAACGGUGAGGAAACAAAUUCCUGUUCUUUGAGGCCGCCCCGUCUGUGGUCAUUUGCCACAGCAGCCCCAGAAAACCGCUAACUCAGUCACUCGGGACAGAUCUGGGCACACGGCGCCGGGAGGGCCACCAGGCCAGGGACACGGACAAGGACCGGCUGCCUCACACGGGAGCUCCAACAGGGAGCCCCACCCGGUAGCCUCUCUAGAGCCCCCACAGGCCAGUCCCCACGUUUAUUAUAAAAUGGCAGAUAAAGCUCAGCGACCACGCGAAGCCGACUCAGGCGCUGGCGCUCGAAGGAGGAGGGACCGCAGCCUCAUGCACGGCUGGUGGGGGUGUUCACGGGGCAGCCCCCCUGGGAAACAGGACGGUGGGUCCUCAGAAGUCAAACAAAGAACCACCACGUGAGCCAGCAGUUCCACUCCUGGGUAUAGACCGAAAAGAAUUGAAAUCCGGGACGUGGAGAGAUCCGCGCGCCUGUGUCCAGAGCAGCGUGAUUCACAGGAAAGGAGGAAGCACCCCGAGCAUCCAGCCACGGAUGAUGGACACUCACAGCGAGGUCCGUCCACACCCUGGAAUAUUACGCAGCCGUGAAAAGGAAGGAGAUCCUGACUCCUGCUCCCACGUGGACGGACCUGGAGGACGUGAUGCUCAAUGACAUCAGCCAGACACAGAGGGACACACACUGUGUGGUCCACUCACAGGAGGUCCCCAGAGGAGCCACAUCCACAGAG